ensembl:lncRNA novel transcript
AGUUCAGUGGCAGCAUUAGAUUCCAAUAGGAGUGUGAACCCUAUUGUGAGCUGCGCGUGCGAGGGGUCUAGGCUGCGCGCUCCUUGUGAGACGCACUCCUUAUAAGAAUCUAACGCCUGAUGAUCUGUCAUUGUUUCCCAUCACCUCCAGAUGGAACCGUCUAGUUGCAGGAAAGCAAGAUGUCAGGGCUCCCACUGAUUCUACAUUAUGGGUGUGAAAGAAGAGUCAUCAUUCCUUCAAUCUAAAAGGAUUACAUCAAUUCAGGUAAACCAUAUUUUAUGAUAUGCAUUUAUUACAUACAAUGUGAUAAUACUAACUCUACCCUUAACUCUAAUGUGGGAAAUCCCUAAAAUAAAAUGUCAUAAGUUAACUUAUAUUCUUAGGCUUUACAUUUUAACUGCAGAGAUGGAAUUCAUGGUGGAAGCAAUAAUUGUUGCCCAUAAAUGAGAACAAUUUACCUGAAUGAGUACGGAAACACCUCUUUUAAAAUCAUAUACUUUAUAGAAAACAUAACUUUCUAAUAAAGUGUUAAUUUUUCUUUGUACUGAUUAAAGUAUUGAACAACAGUUUCAUAAUGCAGUUCCAGAAAAUGGAGUGACUGCCAAUUAAAAAUGUGGGAAGAGAAAGUCUCCAUCUCCCUGAAGGAACAUACAGAGUCCUUUUAAGAUAAGUACAUUUAAAGAAAAUCGUUAUGCACAACACUAACUUCAUUGUAGGUUUUUGGCUCUCUUUCAUAUGACUAUGUCUUUGCAGAUGCCUUUAGUACCAGUGGGGAGUCUAUACUGGAAAUGCAUUCUUCGCCACUUGGCAGAGUAUUCACAGUAAAUGAAUAUCAGAGCUAGGAUUUUGUUGUUAGUUUUUUAUCUGUGGCUGGCUAAAAAGACAGACUUUUACCUACAGGUUGGAUUAUACUAAACAAAAAGAAGGAUAAGCAGAUUUUCUUUUAAGGCAAGACCAAAGGAAGGAAGGAAGACCAAAUCAAAUUUUCAUUUUGAAACAAUGAACAAUAGCAGACAAGUUGGUUAGCAGGGACACUACGUUUAAAUAUUUGUGUGUGUUUGCAUGUGGGGGGGUCUGUGUGUCUCAAAAUAGGAGCAGAAGGGCAGACUGAACACGUGUUCUUUCCCACCCCAAUUACUCUGAUAUGAUCAAAUAAAUAAAUACAUUCGUAACGCACUAGAAAACAAGAAAGGGUGGUGUCAACAUCAAAGAUGUUGAGAUAUUUAUAAAAGAUAUAGAGCAGAUAGGAUUGAAUUCUUCAUAAAAAAAAAGACCAGAAAAAAACACAUAGGAGAGAGAGAGUGCAGAGAUGAGAGUGCUUAUGGGAACUUCAGGCAGCCUUAGGAGGUCAAGGAGCAAUUGUCACAGUGAUUAACUGGGGCAGUGCAUUUAGAGGGACUAGGCUGAUCAGCCAGCCCCCCUACCUCCUGACUAAGCUGAGCAAAAGAGAGCAGGAAUUGCCCUCAGGCUAAACAGAUGAGCAUGGGCUCUGAGACCAAAGAGAUGGGACAAUUCAUUGUCACAAGUAGCUAGUGAUACCCUUGAGACCAGCUGAAACCUCCUCCUAGCAGAAUGCCCUGUCCUGUCCCCACGAUCACUGCAGAUAAACUCCUGUAAUCCGAAUCAAUUUCUACUAAAAUGUGAACAAGUUAUUCAAAUAUGUAUGCCAACAAAACUAAGAUUCCAAGAUAAAGAAAAAUGUGGGAUAUAAGAAAGCAUGAUAAGAAAAAAAUAUAUAUAUAGUUAAGUUUAAAUCUUUUUUCUUUAAUUUCAGCUUUUAUUUUAGAUAUGAGGACGGGAGCUACAUGUGUAAGAUGUGUACACAUAAAUGUGUACAUUAUAUGUGUACACAUAAAUGUGUACAUUAUAUGUGUACACAUAAAUGUGUACAUUAUAUGUGUACACAUAAAUGCUGAUGAACUCUAUAGUCAAAAACUAAUUAUAGUUGGAGGCAUAUUUUAAGAAUUUAAAAGUAAAACUUCUGGUUAAACUUAAUGGAUUAAGUCUACAUAUUUACUUUAUUUUAUUUUAGAGUGCUACUAAAAACUUAAAAGUAAAUUAAACAGGCCAGGCGUGGUGGCUCAUGCCUGUAAUCCCAGCACUUUAGGAGGCCAAGUCGGGCGGAUCAGGAGGUCAGGAGAUCAAGACCAUCCUGGCUAACAC